UAAGCCUGGGAAACUGGGUCUAAUACCGGAUAGGACUCCUGGGCUUCAUGGUUGGGGGUGUAAAGCUUUUGCGGUGUGGGAUGGGCCCGCGGCCUAUCAGCUUGUUGGUGGGGGUAAUGGGCCUACCAAGGCGACGACGGGUAGCCGGCCUGAGAGGGUGACCGGCCACACUGGGACUGAGAUACGGCCCAGACUCCUACGGGAGGCAGCAGUGGGGAAUAUUGCACAAUGGGCGCAAGCCUGAUGCAGCGACGCCGCGUGAGGGAUGACGGCCUUCGGGUUGUAAACCUCUUUCAAUAGGGACGAAGCGCAAGUGACGGUACCUAUAGAAGAAGGGACCGGCCAACUACGUG
rnacentral:rRNA from 1 species